UUUUCCCAUAAAAUCAACGCCUCUUCAUUUUUUUUUUUCAGAAAAGAGAAAACUCGUCGCUCCUCUCCCAUCACGCCACCAACGCUUCUUCCUCAGACCCUCUAUGCUAGCUACGUCUUCUCCACAGACGCCUAUGGCUGCCCCACGUGCUCCCCCAUCCCCUUCGUCAGAGAAACGACUCUAGGCCACUGGAAAAAUGCCUCAUUAGUCACUCAAUCCUCUCAAAUCGACUUGAAAAGGUCAAUUUUUGAGAGAUUUUUCUUCUCCUGCAUGAUUUCUUUAUUGUUUCUUAUAAGAGUUGUGUUUCCAAAAAUUCAAAAUUUGAAUUCUUGAAGCCCAAAUCGACUAUAAAAGGAUGGACUUCGGGUCUAAAAAAAAAACAUCUAGGAACGAGCAAGAAAAUCUUCAAGUGUUAGAUUUGAGAAAAAUUCUAUCUUCUUUCGCCUUUUCCGUUUUCGGUGUUAAAUUCAAGUUGGAGGAAGUUCUAAGUUGAAUCUUGACGUCAAAGCUCUAGUUUGUUGCUCAACAUAAGGUAAUUUUUUUUUUUGAAUCUUUAUUUAGGUUUUUUUAGUUAAUAUGUUUGUUUACCGAUAAAAUUAGAUUUAGUUUUCUCUUUCGUCAAUAUUAUUUUCUCCAGUGUCGUUUUCGCUUCUUAUAUAUGGUAUUGUUUCUAUGAAUAUGUGUAUCGAUGUUGUUGGGUUUGAACCCUCUACGAAUUGUGGCUUGUGUAUCACUGCAUAUAUACUUAGCCAUAACUUCACAUAGUUUUAUGUUAUUGCUUGUAAAAUCGAGCUUUAUUAAUUCCUCAUCUAGCAUGAUAUAAUUAUGUUUUUUUUAUCAUUAUUUUCGGAACGAUAAGAAUUGUUCUUCUAGCAUAACUUUAAUCUCCUGACAUCUUGAUCUCAUCCUAUUUUUCUUCGUUUAAAAUCUUAUGUUGUGUUAGCCUAAGUUUCACUAAUUAAGAAUUGCGAUCAUUUCGAACUUAUAGCUGAUAAAGUUUUAAGAGUUUUUGAGCUAAGAAGUGGAUCUUGCUUAUUUGCAUUUAUCUAUAUAUUUUCUAAUGUGGUAUAAACUUUAGUUGAAUGUGCUGAAAGAUUUAAUCGAUUAGGGGCUGCUCAUUUUGUUCCUCUUUAGAGUCAUUUUUAUCUACAGGAUGCUAUAACUUUGCUUCUUGUUAAGCCAUAUAAAUCCGUAUCUUCUUGUGUGGUUGAUAUAAAUUCGAGUUAAAUCGGCUUCGAAAACUUAACGUCUGCCCAGGUUACUGAUUCUGUCUUCUACAUAUGAAUUUCGCGAAAUGUUUAGCUAUCUUGAUUUGUGUUGCUCUCUGCCUAUGUUGGUUGUUUGGAAUUUUUGAAGCCUAAGGUGCAUUAUUUACCUCCUGAGAGAUCUGCGUAGGUAGCUUCAAAUUAAGCUAAGUUUGGAUUAGUUAUUCACUAAAAUGAUCAAAUUCAAGAGCCUUACACUAGCUGUUUUUUCUUUCUUUCUUUCUUAUCUGAUGUUAUUUUGGGUUAUAGUAGUGGUGUAACUCGUUCUAUUACCAUGAGAACUCUUAUUUCACACAAGUAUGAAUUGCACUUUGGUUAAUCUUUUUCAUAAAGAGCUUGUGAACAAGGUUCUGCUGCUUUCAUAAUAAGCAGAACAAUAGCACUACAUCUUUGACAAAAAUAUUUUAGUUGCUGUCUAUUAGGAAGUGCUUAUUGGUUAAUUCUAAUCGUUUAUGCUUAAGGUUGAUCAAUGUCUAUUCUGUACAUAUACUCAAGCAGCCCCUGAUCGCAUAUUAGUUCGAAUAAGUUAUAUGAAGUACAAAAUUUAUUUUUUUAAGCAUGAUCAGCAAUCAAUUGUGGAAUCAUUGUAAAACUCGCACAUCGAUAUAGCUAUCCAACAAUUUUUGUAUGCUCGCUUGAAGGGUAUUUUAAAGUCGAUCAACAAUUCUCUAGACUGAUUAAAGUUUGGUAUACUAAUUGCUUAAAUGUCAUCAAGAAACUGCUAGGAUAGUAUCAUGCUGAUGUUGCUGUUUCUCAGUAUAUUUUCUAGUAUGCCUAUGACUACAUGAUUCUUAUUUUUUGUCUUAUGAUAAAUCUAAAGUCCACUUGCUAAUUCUACUUCUUCUUUGUUUGUCACAUGUACACUCGGGAGUGCAUUUGGAGUUAGUAAAUAACUCCAUCUCUGUCCAAAUCAGAGAAGCGACUGAUAGCUGCAUAAGCUCAUGUCUAGCAGCCUUUAUCACGUCAAAUAGUGUCCAGCGCUUCCUCUUUGCUCCAAAGCUUCAUAUUUUCUUACAUAUACAUACACUUCUAGUGUUGUCUUUCGACUAACAUCUUACACAUUAUUAUUUCACUCUUAUAUAAGCUUGCUUUUGUUUUGUUUGGGUUUGUACGAAUCAACUUAGAAUGAUGGUAAGACGUAGCUUCCCACCUCGCUUCCCUUUAGAUAUUGGGUUCAUUAUAGUUAUUUAGCUUAUAAUAAUAUUUUUCAACUAAGUUUUAUAUGUUACUUGACGCUUUGUGGUUAUGAAAGCAUGUCUUUUCAAAGAAAGGAAUUAGGGAACAAUCUUUUCAAAAUGUUAAGCACCUAUUUC
rnacentral:lncRNA from 1 species